rnacentral:rRNA from 1 species
UACGUAGGGACCGAGCGUUGUCCGGAUUCAUUGGGCGUAAAGAGCUCGUAGGCGGCUAUUCAAGUCGAACGUGAAAUCUCGGAGCUCAACUCCGAAACUGCGUUCGAUACUGGGUAGCUAGAGUCUGGUAGGGGGAUCGUGGAAUUCCUGGUGUAGCGGUGGAAUGCGCAGAUAUCAGGAGGAACACCGGUGGCGAAGGCGGGAUCCUGGGCCAGUACUGACGCUGAGAAGCGAAAGCUGGGGAGCGAACAGG